GGAGAGAAGAGGUGUGGAACAGCAUCCGGCAGAGGCAGGGAUUGAAAGAAUCUGAGUGUUCUGCUUACUUCAGAUUUUCUGGCAGAAGCAGACAGAUGA